UGGAAUCGCUAGUAAUCGCGGAUCAGGAUGCCGCGGUGAAUACGUUCCCGGGUCUUGUACACACCGCCCGUCACACCAUGGGAGUCGGAAAUGCCCGAAGUCUGUGACCCAACCUUAGGGAGGGAGCAGCCGAAGGCAGGUCGGAUGACUGGGGUGAAGUCGUAACAAGGUAUC
rnacentral:rRNA from 1 species